rnacentral:snoRNA from 1 species
CACACUGUUCAUCUGUACUCGUAUUUGUGUGUGUUAACAGUGCUAUGUCUUCGGUGCCAGAAUGUUCCCCGUCUUCUCGUUCUAUCAUCAAUCGCUGGGACAUUC